rnacentral:tRNA from 1 species
GGAGAGGUGCCGGAGUGGUCGAACGGGGCGGUCUCGAAAACCGUUGAGCCGUGAGGUUCCCGGGGUUCGAAUCCCCGCCUCUCCG